AAACUGAAUACGGGGAAACUACGGUGGAAAUCCGUGACUGUGCCGCAGCUGUUAAAAUAGUCAGAAUGCCCGGGGG
rfam:Acinetobacter sp. CAG:196 genomic scaffold, scf39